rnacentral:sRNA from 1 species
GGCAGGAGGCAGUGGUGUUGGUGGGAAGCGCAGCUCGAAAAGCGAUGCCGAUUCUGGUUUCCUGGGGCUGCGGCCCACUUCGGUGGACCCAGCGCUGAGGCGGCGGCGGCGAGGCCCAAGAAAUAAGAAGCGGGGCUGGCGGCGGCUUGCUCAGGAGCCGCUGGGGCUGGAGGUUGACCAGUUCCUGGAAGACGUGCGGCUACAGGAGCGCACGAGCGGUGGCUUGUUGUCAGAGGCCCCAAAUGAAAAACUCUUCUUCGUGGACACUGGCUCCAAGGAAAAAGGGCUGACAAAGAAGAGAACCAAGGUCCAGAAGAAGUCACUGCUUCUCAAGAAGCCCCUUCGGGUUGACCUCAUCCUCGAGAACACAUCCAAAGUCCCUGCCCCCAAAGACGUCCUCGCCCACCAGGUCCCCAAUGCCAAGAAGCUCAGGCGGAAGGAGCAGCUAUGGGAGAAGCUGGCCAAGCAGGGCGAGCUGCCCCGGGAGGUGCGCAGGGCCCAGGCCCGGCUCCUCAACCCUUCCGCAGCAAGGGCCAAGCCCGGGCCCCAGGACACCGUAGAGCGGCCCUUCUACGACCUCUGGGCCUCAGACAACCCCCUGGACAGGCCGUUGGUUGGCCAGGAUGAGUUUUUCCUGGAGCAGACCAAGAAGAAAGGAGUGAAGCGGCCAGCACGCCUGCACACCAAGCCGUCCCAGGCACCCGCUGUGGAGGUGGCGCCUGCCGGAGCUUCCUACAAUCCAUCCUUUGAAGACCACCAGACCCUGCUCUCAGCGGCCCACGAGGUGGAGUUGCAGCGGCAGAAGGAGGCGGAGAAGCUGGAGCGGCAGCUGGCCCUGCCCACCACGGAGCAGGCCGCCACCCAGGUGAGCCCCGCACCUGCCCACUGCCUCCCCUCCCCGGGCCUCCUACCCACCCCUGACACUGCACCCCGCCUCCCCAGGAGUCCACAUUCCAGGAGCUGUGCGAGGGGCUGCUGGAGGAGUCGGAUGGUGAGGGGGAGCCAGGCCAGGGCGAGGGGCCGGAGGCUGGGGAUGCCGAGGUCUGUCCCACGCCCGCCCGCCUGGCCACCACAGAGAAGAAGACGGAGCAGCAGCGGCGGCGGGAGAAGGCUGCGCACAGGCUGCGGGUACAGCAGGCCGCGUUGCGGGCCGCCCGGCUCCGGCACCAGGAGCUGUUCCGGCUGCGCGGGAUCAAGGCCCAGGUGGCCCUGAGGCUGGCGGAGCUGGCGCGGCGGCGGAGGCAGCGGCAGGCGCGGCGGGAGGCCGAGGCUGACAAGCCCCGAAGGCUGGGGCGGCUCAACCCGAGGGCAACAUCCUUCGAGACCGGUUCAAGAGCUUCCAGAGGAGGAAUAUGAUCGAGCCUCGAGAGAGAGCCAAGUUCAAACGCAAGUACAAGGUGAAGCUGGUGGAGAAGCGGGCGUUCCGCGAGAUCCA